UACGUAGGGUGCAAGCGUUGUCCGGAAUUAUUGGGCGUAAAGCGUGCGUAGGCGGUCAUUCAAGUCUGGUGUUAAAGCUAGAGGCUCAACCUCUGUGUUGCACUGGAAACUGGAUGACUUGAGUGCGGUAGGGGAAGGUAGAAUUCCGAGUGUAGCGGUGAAAUGCGUAGAUAUUCGGAAGAAUACCGGUGGCGAAGGCGACCUUCUGGGCCGCAACUGACGCUGAGGCACGAAAGCGUGGGGAGCAAACGGG
rnacentral:rRNA from 1 species